GAGGAAUCUUGCGCAAUGGGGGAAACCCUGACGCAGCAACGCCGCGUGAGUGAGGAAGGUCUUCGGGUCGUAAAGCUCUGUCAGGCGGGAAGAAAUGCAUGGAGGUGAACAGCCGCCAUGCUUGACGGUACCGCCAGAGGAAGCACCGGCUAACUCCGUGCCAGCAGCCGCGGUAAUACGGGGGGUACAAGCGUUGUUCGGAAUCAUUGGGCGUAAAGAGCGUGUAGGCGGCUUGGUAAGUCAGAUGUGAAAGCCCUGGGCUCAACCCGGGAAGUGCAUUUGAAACUGCCAGGCUCGAGUAGGGGAGAGGGUAGUGGAAUUCCUGGUGUAGAGGUGAAAUUCGUAGAUAUCAGGAGGAACACCGGUGGCGAAGGCGACUUCCUGGCCCUAUACUGACGCUGAGACGCGAGAGCGUGGGUAGCAAACAG
rnacentral:rRNA from 1 species